rnacentral:rRNA from 1 species
AAGAGACGUUGCCCUUCGGGGUAUACCUCCCACCCUUUGUUUAUUAUACCUUUGUUGCUUUGGCGGGCCCGUCCUCGGACCACCGGCUUCGGCUGGUCAGCGCCCGCCAGAGGACCUAAAACUCUGUUUGUUCAUAUUGUCUGAGUACUAUAUAAUAGUUAAAACUUUCAACAACGGAUCUCUUGGUUCUGGCAUCGAUGAAGAACGCAGCGAAAUGCGAUAAGUAAUGUGAAUUGCAGAAUUCAGUGAAUCAUCGAAUCUUUGAACGCACAUUGCGCCCCCUGGUAUUCCGGGGGGCAUGCCUGUUCGAGCGUCAUUACAACCCUCAAGCUCUGCUUGGUAUUGGGCUCUGCCGGUCCCGGCAGGCCUUAAAAUCAGUGGCGGUGCCAUUCGGCUUCAAGCGUAGUAAUUCUUCUCGCUUUGGAGGCCCGGGUGCGUGCUUGCCAGCAACCCCCAAUUUUUUCAGGUUGACCUCGGAUCAGGUAGGGAUACCC